rnacentral:rRNA from 1 species
ACAAGCGGUGGAGCAUGUGGUUAAUUCGAAGCAACGCGAACGAACCUUACCAGGUCUUGACAUCCCCUGACAACCCGAGAGAUCGGGCGUCCCCUUCGGGGGACAGGGUGACAGGUGGUGCAUGGUUGUCGUCAGCUCGUGUCGUGAGAUGUUGGGUUAAGUCCCGCAACGAGCGCAACCCUUAUUGCUAGUUACCAUCAUUGAGUUGGGGACUCUAGCGAGACUGCCAGUGAUAAACUGGAGGAAGGUGGGGAUGACGUCAAAUCAUCAUGCCCCUUAUGACCUGGGCUACAAACGUGAUACAAUGGCUGAAACAAAGGGCAGCGAAGCAGUGAUGUGGAGCGAAACCCAAAAAGCAGUCUCAGUUCGGAUUGAAGUCUGCAACUCGACUUCAUGAAGUCGGAAUCGCUAGUAAUCGCGGAUCAGAACGCCGCGGUGAAUACGUUCUCGGGGUUU